UACGUAGGGUGCGAGCGUUGUCCGGAAUUAUUGGGCGUAAAGGGCUCGUAGGCGGUUUGUCGCGUCGGGAGUGAAAAUCCAGGGCUUAACUCUGGACUGGCUUCCGAUACGGGCAGACUAGAGGUAUGCAGGGGAGAACGGAAUUCCUGGUGUAGCGGUGAAAUGCGCAGAUAUCGGGAAGAACACCCGUGGCGAAGGCGGCUCUCUGGGACGGUACUGACGCUGAGACGCGAAAGGCGUGGGGAGCGAACAGG
rnacentral:rRNA from 1 species